UAAAUUUGCCGACCUUGGAAUGCCGACCUCGUUUUCGAGGACUGAUUUUGCCACAUCUUGCUGACGUAAUAAGUGAUACCAACAAAGGAAAAGGUCGCUUCGUGCGAAAAAAUUCGCUAGUGGAAAACCGACCGCUUUAUUGCCUCUUUUAUAGAACAGUAUAAUAAGCAACAACAACUGAACAACCAAACAAAUUUAAUUAGAAAGAAUUUGCAUUGCUG
rnacentral:lncRNA from 1 species